rnacentral:rRNA from 1 species
UUUGGUUAAGUUAGAAAGGGCGCACGGUGGAUGCCUUGACACUAGGAGUCGAUGAAGGACGGGACUAACGCCGAUAUGCUUCGGGGAGCUGUAAGUAAGCUUUGAUCCGAAGAUUUCCGAAUGGGGAAACCCACCAUACGUAAUGGUAUGGUAUCCUUAUCUGAAUACAUAGGGUAAGGAAGACAGACCCAGGGAACUGAAACAUCUAAGUACCUGGAGGAAGAGAAAGCAAAUGCGAUUUCCUGAGUAGCGGCGAGCGAAACGGAACAUAGCCCAAACCAAGAGGCUUGCCUCUUGGGGUUGUAGGACAUUCUAUACGGAGUUACAAAGGAACGAGGUAGACGAAGCGACCUGGAAAGGUCCGUCGUAGAGGGUAACAACCCCGUAGUCGAAACUUCGUUCUCUCUUGAAUGUAUCCUGAGUACGGCGGAACACGUGAAAUUCCGUCGGAAUCUGGGAGGACCAUCUCCCAAGGCUAAAUACUCCCUAGUGAUCGAUAGUGAACCAGUACCGUGAGGGAAAGGUGAAAAGCACCCCGGAAGGGGAGUGAAAGAGAUCCUGAAACCGUGUGCCUACAAAUAGUCAGAGCCCGUUAACGGGUGAUGGCGUGCCUUUUGUAGAAUGAACCGGCGAGUUACGAUCCCGUGCGAGGUUAAGCUGAAGAGGCGGAGCCGCAGCGAAAGCGAGUCUGAAUAGGGCGUUUAGUACGUGGUCGUAGACCCGAAACCAGGUGAUCUACCCAUGUCCAGGGUGAAGUUCAGGUAACACUGAAUGGAGGCCCGAACCCACGCACGUUGAAAAGUGCGGGGAUGAGGUGUGGGUAGCGGAGAAAUUCCAAUCGAACCUGGAGAUAGCUGGUUCUCCCCGAAAUAGCUUUAGGGCUAGCCUUAAGUGUAAGAGUCUUGGAGGUAGAGCACUGAUUGGACUAGGGGUCCUCAUCGGAUUACCGAAUUCAGUCAAACUCCGAAUGCCAAUGACUUAUCCUUAGGAGUCAGACUGCGAGUGAUAAGAUCCGUAGUCAAAAGGGAAACAGCCCAGACCGCCAGCUAAGGUCCCAAAGUGUGUAUUAAGUGGAAAAGGAUGUGGAGUUGCUUAGACAACUAGGAUGUUGGCUUAGAAGCAGCCACCAUUUAAAGAGUGCGUAAUAGCUCACUAGUCGAGUGACUCUGCGCCGAAAAUGUACCGGGGCUAAAUACACCACCGAAGCUGCGGAUUGAUACCAAUGGUAUCAGUGGUAGGGGAGCGUUCUAAGGACAGUGAAGUCAGACCGGAAGGACUGGUGGAGUGCUUAGAAGUGAGAAUGCCGGUAUGAGUAGCGAAAGACGGGUGAGAAUCCCGUCCACCGAAUGCCUAAGGUUUCCUGAGGAAGGCUCGUCCGCUCAGGGUUAGUCAGGACCUAAGCCGAGGCCGACAGGCGUAGGCGAUGGACAACAGGUUGAUAUUCCUGUACCACCUCUUUAUCGUUUGAGCAAUGGAGGGACGCAGAAGGAUAGAAGAAGCGUGCGAUUGGUUGUGCACGUCCAAGCAGUUAGGCUGAUAAGUAGGCAAAUCCGCUUAUCGUGAAGGCUGAGCUGUGAUGGGGAAGCUCCUUAUGGAGCGAAGUCUUUGAUUCCCCGCUGCCAAGAAAAGCUUCUAGCGAGAUAAAAGGUGCCUGUACCGCAAACCGACACAGGUAGGCGAGGAGAGAAUCCUAAGGUGUGCGAGAGAACUCUGGUUAAGGAACUCGGCAAAAUGACCCCGUAACUUCGGGAGAAGGGGUGCUUCUUAACGGAAAGCCGCAGUGAAUAGGCCCAAGCGACUGUUUAGCAAAAACACAGCUCUCUGCGAAGCCGUAAGGCGAAGUAUAGGGGUGACACCUGCCCGGUGCUGGAAGGUUAAGGAGAGGGGUUAGCGUAAGCGAAGCUCUGAACUGAAGCCCCAGUAAACGGCGGCGCCGUAACUAUAACGGUCCUAAGGUAGCGAAAUUCCUUGUCGGGUAAGUUCCGACCCGCACGAAAGGUGUAACGAUUUGGGCACUGUCUCAACCAGAGACUCGGUGAAAUUAUAGUACCUGUGAAGAUGCAGGUUACCCGCGACAGGACGGAAAGACCCCGUGGAGCUUUACUGUAGCCUGAUAUUGAAUUUUGGUACAGUUUGUACAGGAUAGGCGGGAGCCAUUGAAACCGGAGCGCUAGCUUCGGUGGAGGCGCUGGUGGGAUACCGCCCUGACUGUAUUGAAAUUCUAACCUACGGGUCUUAUCGACCCGGGAGACAGUGUCAGGUGGGCAGUUUGACUGGGGCGGUCGCCUCCUAAAGUGUAACGGAGGCGCCCAAAGGUUCCCUCAGAAUGGUUGGAAAUCAUUCGUAGAGUGCAAAGGCAUAAGGGAGCUUGACUGCGAGACCUACAAGUCGAGCAGGGACGAAAGUCGGGCUUAGUGAUCCGGUGGUUCCGCAUGGAAGGGCCAUCGCUCAACGGAUAAAAGCUACCCCGGGGAUAACAGGCUUAUCUCCCCAAGAGUCCACAUCGACGGGGAGGUUUGGCACCUCGAUGUCGGCUCAUCGCAUCCUGGGGCUGUAGUCGGUCCCAAGGGUUGGGCUGUUCGCCCAUUAAAGCGGUACGCGAGCUGGGUUCAGAACGUCGUGAGACAGUUCGGUCCCUAUCCGUCGUGGGCGUAGGAAAUUUGAGAGGAGCUGUCCUUAGUACGAGAGGACCGGGAUGGACGCACCGCUGGUGUACCAGUUGUUCUGCCAAGGGCAUAGCUGGGUAGCUAUGUGCGGAAGGGAUAAGUGCUGAAAGCAUCUAAGCAUGAAGCCCCCCUCAAGAUGAGAUUUCCCAUAGCGUAAGCUAGUAAGAUCCCUGAAAGAUGAUCAGGUUGAUAGGUUCGAGGUGGAAGCAUGGUGACAUGUGGAGCUGACGAAUACUAAUAGAUCGAGGACUUAACCAUAUAA